GCGCCCAUAGCUCAAUUGGAUAGAGCACCAGUCUACGGAACUGGUUGUUGGAGGUUCGAUUCCUCCUGGGCGCA
rnacentral:tRNA from 1 species